CCCUUAGAUGUCCGGGGCCGCACGCGCGCUACACUGAAGGAAUCAGCGUGGCUUUCUCCCUGACCCGAAAGGGUUGGGAAACCCGUUGAAUCUCCUUCGUGAUAGGGAUUGGGGCUUGAAAUUGUUCCCCAUGAACGAGGAAUUCCCAGUAAGCGCGAGUCAUAAGCUCGCGUUGAUUACGUCCCUGCCCUUUGUACACACCGCCCGUCGCACCUACCGAUUGAAUGUUUCGGUGAAGAUUCCGGACCGUGGCGAGCGCGCUUCACGGCGCUCUUGCCGUGGGAAGUUAUCUAAACCUCAACAUUUAGAGGAAGGUGAAGUCGUAACA
rnacentral:rRNA from 1 species